UACGUAGGGUGCGAGCGUUAAUCGGAAUUACUGGGCGUAAAGCGUGCGCAGGCGGUUUUGUAAGCCAGAUGUGAAAUCCCCGGGCUUAACCUGGGAAUGGCAUUUGGGACUGCAAGGCUCGAGUGCGGCAGAGGAGACUGGAAUUCCUGGUGUAGCAGUGAAAUGCGUAGAUAUCAGGAGGAACACCAAUUGCGAAGGCAGCUCGCUGGGACGUGACUGACGCUGAGACGCGAAAGCGUGGGGAGCAAACAGG
rnacentral:rRNA from 1 species